rnacentral:rRNA from 1 species
GAUGAACGCUGGCGGCGUGCUUAACACAUGCAAGUCGAACGGGAAACCUUUUAUUGAAGCUUCGGCAGAUUUAGCUGGUUUCUAGUGGCGGACGGGUGAGUAACGCGUGGGUAACCUGCCUUAUACAGGGGGAUAACAACCAGAAAUGGUUGCUAAUACCGCAUAAGCGCACAGGACCGCAUGGUCCGGUGUGAAAAACUCCGGUGGUAUAAGAUGGACCCGCGUUGGAUUAGCUAGUUGGCAGGGUAACGGCCUACCAAGGCGACGAUCCAUAGCCGGCCUGAGAGGGUGAACGGACACAUUGGGACUGAGACACGGACCAGACUCCUACGGGAGGAAGAAGUGGGGAAUAUUGCACAAUGGGGGAAACACUGAUGCAGCGACGCCGCGUGAAGGAAGAAGUAUCUCGGUAUGUAAACUUCUAUCAGCAGGGAAGAUAGUGACGGUACCUGACUAAGAAGCCCCGGCUAACUACGUG